GACGGAGGGUGCUAGCGUUGUUCGGAAUUACUGGGCGUAAAGGGCGCGUAGGCGGCCUGGCAAGUCGGAUGUGAAAGCCCGGGGCUCAACCUCGGAACGGCAUUCGAAACUGCUGGGCUGGGGAACGGAAGAGGAGAGUGGAAUACCCAGUGUAGAGGUGAAAUUCGUAGAUAUUGGGUGGAACACCGGUGGCGAAAGCGGCUCUCUGGUCCGGUUCUGACGCUGAGGCGCGAAAGCGUGGGGAGCAAACAGG
rnacentral:rRNA from 1 species